rnacentral:rRNA from 1 species
UACGGAGGAUGCAAGCGUUAUCCGGAUUCAUUGGGUUUAAAGGGUGCGUAGGCGGUCUUAUAAGUCAGUGGUGAAAGCCUACAGCUUAACUGUAGAAUUGCCAUUGAUACUGUAGGACUAGAGUACAGACGACGUUGGCGGAAUAUGACAUGUAGCGGUGAAAUGCUUAGAUAUGUCAUAGAACACCGAUUGCGAAGGCAGCUGACGAGACUGUAACUGACGCUGAGGCACGAAAGUGUGGGGAUCAAACAGG